AAAGGGGAAGAGGGCUGAGAAGAAAGGCCAGUGAGAAAACAAAUGCUUUUGAUUUAAAAAAAUAAAUAAAUGUAUGUAUUUAUUUUAACCAGAAAAAUGAAAAUUUCUAUCCUUUUCAGAAACCACUGAUUUUCUACUGGAAAGAUGGAAGAAAAAAGCAAAUGGAAGUUCCUUGCUUGCUGAUUGUUUCAGAGAAAGUGCAUAGGAUUUAAGAUCUCCCUGCUCCCUUUCCGUCUGACUCUCGCAUUUCCUGCAUGAGGCRUCUGCCUUUGGCGGGUUUGUCACAGCGCGAUUCACUUGUGAGGUGCUGGAUUCAGAAAUGCUGCAGAUACUUGACCCGCUGAAGAAGUCAAUCUUGCUCCUUUUCCAGUCCUUGGAAAGUGCUCUACGUCUGUGCACURUGUCAGCCUGCAAGGAAUUCCUGUUUGUCAUGUUUAAUUCCUUCCUGAGCCUGGACUUGGGGGGCAUAUAGAAGAUAACUCUCRCUUGGAAUGAUUCAGGAUUUUCAACUUGCCAUUACACUGCGACUACAUCAGUGUUUCUGAAAUCUGGGAAG
ensembl:lncRNA